AUAUGAACUAAAUUCACACAUGUAAUUUUUUUAUUUUCAGUUUGUCAAGCUCGUGGAGGAUGUUGUAAUGCGCUCCCAGAAGUGGCCAACAACUGUGCAGAUCCGACGAAGCAUCCGAAGCUAACAUAUUCGUCGCCCGAUUGUUCGGAUACUGAAAUGUGUUGCAUAUUCUUAACUUAAUUCCAGUUACAGCCCAGCAGACGUCCAACAAUUGUAUACAGUAAAUACGAGUAAAGUUAGCUCACAGUUCCAUCCAUUUCUGCAAGGGGUCAUUCCAGUAGUAGAAAAUGAAUUAAAAUUUAAAAAAAUGGUGAAAAUGUUUGCUUUAUUGCAAACAUCGUCGUAAUGCAUUGGCAGUGUCCUGCCUGACUGCCUGCUCAAUUGAUUUUGGAAAGGCUUCCUGAAUUGUUACCAGUUCCAUUGACAUCUCCCUUUCGGCUGCAAUCCUCUCGGCAUCAAUGGAACGCCUCAAAUUAAAUAUCCAGCUGCAAAUCCACAAAUCAAAUGCAAUCAAUUCAAAUUUCACACUUCAAUAUUCAUUAGAAAUGUAUUUUGCAUUUUACAAUUGCAAUGUAGAUGAAACCGCCAGCCAGAGGCAAUCGCCUGACUGGCUCUCAGGCUCCCUGGCUCCCUGGCUGCCUGGCUGCCUGGAUGUCUGUGGCUACAGGAGUGAGUGCCAGCAAGGACCCAGCGUCUGAGCAUCUCAGUCCGGUAUCGUUACUCAGUUGCACAAAGCGAGCAUAAAAAAUGAAAUGGAAUGGAAUUUUCAGCAAAAUUAGCUGCCAAUUGUUUUCAAUGCACAGCGUCGACAUUCAGCUGAUAAAUUGAGAGCGAACGGAGAACGGAAAUUGUGCCAAACCAAGCAAGAAAUUUCAAAUUGCCAACAGCUGUGCGCUGCAGUUUGUCUGGGUGU